CUUUUCCCGCACCGGUGGCCGGACUCUGCAUGAGUCACCGCCUGCCUGCAAGCCCAGAGCUCGCCGCACCCCCCUGCCUCUCCGCACCGUCCCACAGGCUGUGACCCUCCACCCAGCCAUAGACGGUUCUGCUCUUGGCACAAAGGAGGGCUUCUUAGCCGGGAAUAUGGCUGCCCGGGAGGGGCGACUUCUGUGCUUGUUUUUCCUUCCUGGCACUGAAAACAAGCACAUCCACCCAACAAAUAAAGACGCGGUCAAUGAAAGCAGCUGUGUUUCAAGGGGAGACAGGGAGCAAGCCAAGGAAUAAAUGAAAAGACCCAGUGACAAAAUGCCCAUUCAUCGGGUUCACUCGGCAAACAUUUACUGAAGCAUCUGUGUGCCAGGCACUGUCCUGAGUGCUGGGAAGACACAAAGAUGCCCUUCAGAACGAUGACCCCCGCCUCGCCCUCCGCUGGAACCGGGAGGCAGACACACACAUAAAUACGACACAGUCAACCGUCCCCAGUUCACAGCAUCUAAAGGAGCUAGGAAUGCAUGGGAUGCUUAUGGAAUGUGCGAGAACACGGAGACAAAGUCUCACUGUGUUCCCAGGCUGAUCCCCAACUCCUGAGCUCAAGCCAGCCACCAGCCUUGGCCUCCCAAAGUGCUGGGAUUACAGGCGUGAGCCACCACGCCGGGCCCAGAUGAACAGGUAAGAGACACAAGCAGCUCUGGGAACUGCAAGGUGAUUAGAAGAUGGGGGCAAGACUGAGCACAAAGGCGGGAGAGCACAGGAUGGAGCAGGUUAGGAAGCUGGUACAGGAAUCAGGACAGCGAUGCCAAGGUAAGGAAGGCAUCGGGGGUACAGGAAAAAGCAGAACUAAAUUCAGCAAAAUGCUCCCAGUUGACCAGAUCCUAUGGAAAAACCCUCAGCUGAACGCCUGGGGCACCCACUUACAAAGGCAAUCUUAUCUUAUAAAGAGAGGGAAUUCUCACACAGGUCACAGCAUGGAUGAACCUUGAGGACAUUUGCUAAGUGAGAGACAAAAAAGGACAAAUACUGUAUGAGUCCACUCAUAGGCGGUGGCUAGAGUAAUUAAAUUCACAUAAAAAAACAGAAAGUAGAAUGGGAGUGGCCAAGGGCUGCGGGAACAGCAAAUUGGUGUUUAUCUUAUGAAUCAAUUUCAUUUCCAAGAGCCCUGUUGGGUAAGUAGCCCAAUUUCUGAACACUCCUCUCUUGAAGCUGUUGCUAAGAACCCACCAUCCCCAGCUUCUCAGCAUGGUAGGAACCAUGACUUAGCCAUUGCCUCCUCUAUGCCUAGUACUAUCCUAGGUCCUUCUUUAAACCAUUUCUAUCCCUCACAGUAACCCCAUGAGGAAGAUAUUAUUUCAAAGUCAGGCUGAGGAGGCCAAACAUCAGACCAGUUGUGUAACUUGCCCCCGGGUCCAUGCAGUGGGUUGAGAGUGAAACCAGGAUUCCUGGCAUAAAGUCUGCGCUUUUCCCACUCAUUCCACGUAGCUCCUAGUGCUUUCUUCCAUGGCGAUGGCAUUGAAGUGCAGAUCCGUCUUCUCAGUCCUGACUCCUAGACUUUUCCCUCCAACCCCCAAGGUGAUGGGAUAAAGAGAUAGGGCCUUUGGGAAGUUAGUGCUGUUAUUAAAAAGGCCCCAGGCUGGGUGCAAUAGCUCACGCCUAUAAUCCCAGCACUUUGGGAGGCUGAGACAGGUAGAUCACCUGAGGUCAGGAGUUCGAGACGAGCCUGGACAACAUGGUGAAUCCCCGUCUCUACCAAAAAUACAAAAAUUAGCUGGGCAUGGUAGCACACACCUAUAGUCCCAGCUGCUUGGGAGGCUGAGGCAGGAGAAUCUCUGGAACCCAGGAGGUGGAGGUUGCAGUGAGCCGAGGUUUCAGUGAGCCGAGAUUGCGUCAUUGCACUCCAGCCUAGGUGACAGAGCAAGACUCCAUCUCCAAAAAAAAAAAAAAAAAUUAAAAGGCGCCAGAGAGCUGCUUUCUCCUUCAGCCACAUAAGGGCACAACAACAAGGUGCCACGAAGCAAAGAGCCCUCACCAGACAUGGAAUCUGCGGGCGCCUUCUCAGCCUCCAGAACUAUCAGCAAUAAAUUUCUGUUGUUUAUAAAUUCCCCAGUCUAAGAUACUUUGUUAUAGCAACCUAAAUGGACUGAGACUGACACCCAUUGUGUAAUAUAACACUGAUGAUAACUGUUCCAAUCACUGGGCACCUACCCUGUGUCAGGAACUGCAUUUAUGAGCUUUAGGUGUUGACAGUAACCAUAUCGGGAGGUAUUAAUAUUCCUUGUUUCCGCCUUUUUUUUUAGUGUGCCAUUUGAUUCCAAAUGCUAUGCUCUUCCCACUUGGCUCUUCUGUUUUGUUUGUGCAAUCUGGGUUCGUCUCGGAAGUGUGUAUUUAAGGUUCUCUCCAGGUUAGAGAGAAUGUGGCAGCAUGCCUGAUGAUGUCACCCACUGCUUCUGUUAUACCCUGCCCAGCUUACCCCUUCCCUCUGGGCCUUUUAUAGGACCUUGUAUUUAGUCCAACAACAACAAUAGCACAACACCCAUAAACAAAACACCUCUGCAUAUAAUACAAUGUACUUGCCUACUUGCUGACUGAAAGAGCUCCCACAGCCUCCCAGGUGCUGCCCUGCGCUUGGAGCAAAGCCUAUCUGAGGCUGAAGAAUGAGUAAGUCACCACCUGAAUCCUGCCCUCCAGCCAGCUCUCUUCAUCAUGGAAAUUCUUGGAGCAGAGUGGAAGGGAACCUGAGAGGAGAGAUGGCACCUUCACUGAUUCCUCCUUUAUCUUUCCAGACUUCAUGGCUGAGACAGAGCUGAGAGCAGAGAAAACAGACUCAUAAAAUCCUGGCAGAAUCUUUCCAUUCUAAUAGGUAGGUUGGGGUGUGGUGGCUCAUGCCUGUAAUCCUAGCCCUUUGGGAGGCUGAGGCAGGAGGACCACCUGAGCUCAGGAGUUCAAGACCAGCCUGGGCAACAUAGUGAGACCCUGUCUCUACGAAAAAUAAUAAUAAAAAACAAUUGGCCAGGCAUCAUGGCAUGCACCUGUAGUCCCAGCUGUUCAGAAGGCUGAGGUGGGAGGAUCACUUGAGGCCAGCAGGUUGAGGCUGCAGUGAGCUGAGAUGGCGUCACUGUGGGCAACAGUGGGAGACCCUAUCUCAAAAAGCAAACAAACAAACUCUAAUCGCCGUUAAAGUUAAAUGAUCUACAAUCUGGCUUUAUGCUAGGGUAAACUGUCUUCUCACAGCUGGAAAUGAAAAUUCCCUAUAGUAGUUGGAGGGCUCCCGACCCCCAGCCUCCCAACCUACCACACUCCAACUUUGUCUGUGCCCUGCCACGAACACUUUUCUAGAAGAGACCCCUUCUGCCACCCCACGUUUGCCACAGUGGGCUCCUCAAAGUGCUCAUCCAGGAGACUGAAGAUUCUAAGUUUCCAACCCAGAGACUGGAGCCAACAGAAUCCCUUUUCCAGGACUUAGCAUUUGGGACUCACAGAGAUUUCCUCUCCCUCAUUGGGCGACUGGGCUAUAACAGUGGGCUUCAAAGUGAAGCUAGUAGACUGGGGACAUGAAGACGUUGGAGGGGUGCAGAGUCAUGAAUAGCUGUCAAGGAUUGGUUUCCAGAUCUAAAAUUGACACCUAUAGUCUUUCCUAUACAGACAUGCUCUACUGGCGAGUGUUCUGGUUCUGAGAGCUUGUCUUUCUUUAUCAACUGCCCUUUCAAGCUCAAGCUUCCCCUAUUGCACAGAAGAAAUGCAAGCCUCUUCCCUUCUGGAAUCGCACCAUGGGCAGUACUCCAGAGAGUGGAAACUCUCUGACACCAAACAAGGGACAAUUCAAGAAUAAAUGGCACCUGAGUCCCAGGAGGGCAAAGCAGAGUGAGAAAAGAAUUAGUGAGUGAUGUGGAAAGGACAACAUCCUUUCAUCCCAGAGUCAAAGCCCCGGCAAGCCUCCAGGCCUCAGCGCUCCCUCUGUCUUACAGCACAAAAACACCUUUUGUGGAUGGGAAAGGACUCAGGACGUGAUCAGACUGGCCUGCUGAGAGUAUCAUAGGGAAGUGCUGGAUGGGUUCAUGGAAAGAAGUAUACACAGAUGAGGAACAGCAGAAAGGCAUG
rnacentral:lncRNA from 10 species